AUAGAUCCUAUAGCAAGCAAGAUAGAUCACUCGACGAUAAAGACGUAGUACAGUCAUGGGCAGAUUCAUGGGUAGUUUGCGGCCCCAUUUCCGUAACCGGCUUCCGUCUCCGCACCAAAGAUCCCAUAGCGGAGCAAAGAUACUAGUGCGGAGACGGAAGCCAUUUACGGAAACAUCCUCGUAAAAAUAAAAGUUCUUUGGUAAGAUUAUUUUGGACUCCACUGGAUAAAACUCUACAAGAAUAUGUAAAGAUUUUACCAUAAGGGCGUCGUUUUACGGAGCAGAUGUGAUUAUACACACACAUCCAAGAUCAGACUUUUAAUAGUUGCUAGAACAAGUGGGCCCCGUCCCCUCAAUAAAGCUCAAAAUUUUCAGCUCCUUUUCAGGCAGUGGUACCUUCACCAAUGAUUCGUGGUUUUUGCUGACUUCAUCACAGAGCUUGAUUAAUUGAACCAGAAUCCUGUCCAACAUCGCCAUCUUGUGACUGAGCUUUAGCUUUGACCACAGGCAUACAUGUCCACUAUCCCUUGAAGACUCGUUGACGUAAAAGCCGUAUGCCUGCGACUUGAUAGGGGGCGCCAUCCAGUUGGGUAUGGCUGCCCUGCCUGCAGCUGUCCGUCCUUUCAGUCCUUUUUUUUAUUUUUAGUAUGUUAAAAAGUAUUUUGUUUGGAGGUCUAUUCUUUUUGUGCGUG